rnacentral:rRNA from 1 species
UACGUAGGGUGCAAGCGUUAUCCGGAUUUACUGGGUGUAAAGGGCGAGUAGACGGCCAAACAAGUCAGAUGUGAAAACUUAGGGCUCAACCUUAAGACUGCAUCUGAAACUGUAGGGCUAGAGUGCAGGAGAGGAAAGUGGAAUUUCUAGUGUAGCGGUGAAAUGCGUAGAUAUUAGGAGGAACACCAGUGGCGAAGGCGACUUUCUGGACUGUAACUGACGUUGAGGCGCGAAAGUGUGGGGAGCAAACAGG